rnacentral:rRNA from 1 species
AUUGAACGCUGGCGGCAUGCCUUACACAUGCAAGUCGAACGGCAGCACGGGAGCAAUCCUGGUGGCGAGUGGCGAACGGGUGAGUAAUAUAUCGGAACGUGCCCAGUCGUGGGGAUAACGUAGCGAAAGCUACGCUAAUACCGCAUACGAUCUAUGGAUGAAAGCGGGGGAUCGCAAGACCUCGCGCGAUUGGAGCGGCCGAUAUCAGAUUAGGUAGUUGGUGAGGUAAAGGCUCACCAAGCCGACGAUCUGUAGCUGGUCUGAGAGGACGACCAGCCACACUGGGACUGAGACACGGCCCAGACUCCUACGGGAGGCAGCAGUGGGAAUUUUGGACAAUGGGCGCAAGCCUGAUCCAGCAAUGCCGCGUGCAGGAUGACGGUCCUAUGGAUUGUAAACUGCUUUUAUACAGGAAGAAACACU